UACGUAGGGUGCAAGCGUUGUCCGGAAUUAUUGGGCGUAAAGAGCUCGUAGGCGGUCUGUCGCGUCGGCUGUGAAAACCCGGAGCUCAACUCCGGGCCUGCAGUCGAUACGGGCAAACUGGAGUGUUGCAGGGGAGACUGGAAUUCCUGGUGUAGCGGUGAAAUGCGCAGGUAUCAGGAGGAACACCGGUGGCGAAGGCGGCAUCCUGGACCGGCAUUGACGCUGAGGAGCGAAAGCCAGGGGAGCAAACGGG
rnacentral:rRNA from 1 species